rnacentral:rRNA from 1 species
CCUACGGGCGGCUGCAGUGGGGAAUAUUGGACAAUGGGGGGAACCCUGAUCCAGCCAUGCCGCGUGUGUGAAGAAGGCCCUCGGGUUGUAAAGCACUUUCAGUGAGGAAGAACGCCUGGUGGUUAAUACCCAUCAGGAAAGACAUCACUCACAGAAGAAGCACCGGCUAACUCCGUGCCAGCAGCCGCGGUAAUACGGAGGGUGCGAGCGUUAAUCGGAAUUACUGGGCGUAAAGCGCGCGUAGGUGGCUUGAUAAGCCGGUUGUGAAAGCCCCGGGCUCAACCUGGGAACGGCAUCCGGAACUGUCAAGCUAGAGUGCAGGAGAGGAAGGUCGAAUUCCCGGUGUAGCGGUGAAAUGCGUAGAGAUCGGGAGGAAUACCAGUGGCGAAGGCGGCCUUCUGGACUGACACUGACACUGAGGUGCGAAAGCGUGGGUAGCAAACAGGAUUAGAUACCCGGGUAGUC